GGCUCAUCUUCAGCAGUAAUUCAUGAAUUCUCAUCUAUCUCAAUGAACUGGAAUGAAUCAGUUUCAUUAUCAAUGAACAGUAAUGUAGAGCAAACAUCUCAAUAACAGUCAAAUCAGACAAUCUCAAAUAUCUAGGUUUCUAUUUCCCCCCAAACUAUCAGAACUGCUGCAAAUGUGGAGCUCUUAUCUGUUUGUUCAGCUGCUGGAUCGG